CUGAGUACCCGAUGAGUAUUUACGAUUGCAUCUCUAAUCCUCCCCAACCCUCUUCCGGUUCUUCUCAUCCCAACUGACCGACUACCAUGGCCGGCGGCGGCGGCGGCUCUCUGUCUAGCCCCUCCGCCUCCUUCCUUUCCAGUCCCACCCCAACACCGCCCCCUCGUCUCCUCCGCAGGUGUAGCACGAAGUCUGCCUCACGAGAUAGCCCCAUCCUCAGACCAAAAAAGCCGCCUCCACUCUUCUGCGCGGCGGCAGCCACUCCCACCCCCGCUCCCGCGGCCGCGUCCAAGUCGGCUGGGUCAUGGAGGGACCUGUGCAGUCUCAACGCCUGGGUGGUGCGAGACUACCGCCGCCUUGUCGACUCCGUCGGCGCGCUCGAGCCGGCGCUUCGGAGGCUCUCUGAGGAACAGUUGAAGGCGAAGACGGCCGAGUUCCGCAGCCGCCUAACGCGCGGGGAGACGCUCGCCGACGUCCAGGCCGAUGCGUUUGCUGUGGUACGUGAGGCGGCUAGGAGGACGCUUGGGAUGCGGCAUUUCGACGUCCAGAUAAUUGGCGGUGCUGUGCUCCAUGACGGCUGCAUUGCAGAGAUGAAGACAGGCGAGGGGAAGACGCUUGUUUCCACACUUGCGGCUUAUCUAAAUGCCCUUACAGGGAAAGGGGUUCAUGUGGUGACUGUAAAUGAUUAUUUGGCACAGCGUGAUGCUGAAUGGAUGGGUCGUGUUCAUCGCUUUCUCGGUCUUACUGUUGGUCUGAUUCAGGCGGGUAUGAAGUCAGAUGAGAGAAGAGCUAGCUACAGAUGUGACAUUACAUACACUAACAACUCGGAACUUGGAUUUGACUAUCUUCGUGACAACCUAUCUCGAAACAAAGAACAACUAGUUAUGAGAUGGCCAAGGCCAUUCCAUUUUGCUAUUGUGGACGAAGUGGACUCAGUACUUAUAGAUGAGGGAAGGAAUCCAUUAUUAAUAAGUGGAGAGGAUAAUAGAGAUGCAGUUCGGUAUCCAAUUGCUGCUAAAGUCGCAGAACUUCUUAUGGAGGGUGUUCAUUACACCGUUGAACUAAAGGGCAAUAAUAUAGAUCUGACAGAGGACGGUGUAGCACAUGCUGAGAUUAUUCUUGGGACAGAUGAUCUAUGGGAUGAGAAUGAUCCAUGGGCAAGGUUUGUGAUGAAUGCUUUGAAGGCAAAAGUGUUCUACCGAAGGGAUGUCCAGUAUAUUGUCAGGGAUGGGAAAGCUAUUAUAAUUAAUGAGUUAACCGGCCGAGUUGAACCCAAGAGAAGAUGGUCUGAUGGUAUCCACCAAGCAGUAGAAGCAAAAGAAGGCCUAAAAAUCCAGGCAGACUCGGUAAUUGUGGCUCAAAUCACAUAUCAGUCAUUGUUUAAGCUUUAUCCUAAACUUUCUGGGAUGACAGGAACUGCUAAGACAGAGGAAAAGGAGUUUUCAAAGAUGUUCAAGAUGCCUGUUAUUGAAGUACCUACGAAUCUGCCAAAUAUACGGGUGGACUUGCCUAUCCAAGCUUUUGCGACUGCAAGAGGCAAAUGGCAAUAUGUACGGGCUGAAGUAGAGUCUAUGUUCCAAUUAGGUCGCCCUGUUUUAGUUGGAACUACAAGUGUCGAGAGUUCUGAAUACUUGUCAGAGCUACUUAAAGUUCACAAGAUUCCACACAAUGUCCUUAAUGCAAGGCCAAAGUAUGCUGCAAGAGAAGCCGAAAUAAUUGCCCAAGCUGGAAGAAAACAUGCUAUUACAAUAUCUACUAAUAUGGCUGGCAGAGGAACUGACAUUAUUUUAGGUGGUAAUCCAAAAAUGCUUGCAAAAGAAAUAGUAGAAGAUAACAUACUUCCAUUUUUGACCCAUGAACCUCCUAAUAUUGACAUGGAAGGGGAAUCCACAUCCCACAAGGGUCUCUCAAAUGUAGAACUUAGUCCAUCAUCAGUAGGUCUGCUUGCCAAAGCUGCAAUCAUGUCAAAAUAUAUUCACAAAAGCGAGAGAAAUGAAUGGUCUUUGAGUAAGGCAAAAUCCACUAUUGCUGAAUCUAUAGAAAUGGGUCAAAUGAUUGGGAUGGAGAAACUGCAAGAGCGCAUGACUGAAGAGUCUGAGAUGUACCCUCUUUGUGAUGCAAUAGGACUUGCUUAUCUCAGUGUCUUAAGGGAUUGCGAAGUUCAUUGUUCUUUUGAAGGUGCUGCAGUGAAGAGAUUAGGUGGGCUUCAUGUAGUAGGAACCUCUUUGCAUGAGUCACGCCGAAUUGAUAACCAACUGCGCGGCAGAGCAGGCAGACAGGGUGAUCCUGGGUCGACACGGUUUAUGGUGAGCUUACAAGAUGAAAUAUUCCAGAAAUUUAAUCUGGACACUGAAUGGGCCGUGAGGCUAAUAUCAAGGAUAACGAAUGAUGAAGACAUAGCUAUCGAGAGCAAUGUUGUUGUGAAACAGCUUCUAGGCCUUCAAAUCAACGCGGAGAAAUAUUAUUUUGGAAUAAGGAAAAGUCUGGUUGAGUUCGAUGAAGUCCUGGAGGUCCAAAGAAAGCAUGUAUACAACCUUAGGCAGGUGAUAUUAUCUGGUGACUCUGAAAGCUGCAGUGAACAAAUUUUCCAGUACAUGCAAGCGGUAGCUGAUGAAAUUGUUUUGGUAAAUGUUGACCCCCAAAAGCCACCCAAGGCAUGGAAUCUGGUAAAGCUUUUGGAUGAAUUUGUUAGUCUAGGCGGAAAACUGAGUGAAUCAUUCAAGGACAUCCGAGAGCAAAACCUCCAAUCAGCACUUGAGCAAAUGCAAGGUUGGGGUCCUGUGAAGGCUGAUAGUUUCGCCCUUCCAAACAUGCCGUUGCCGCCCGAUUCAUUCAGAGGAAUUCGAAAAAGAACAUCUUCAAUAACGCGGUGGUUUUCCAUUUGUGUUGAUGAUACGUCAAAUUUGUAUGUUGCUUCUUUUCGAUAAAUCAAUCCAGGAAAGGGAGAUAUACAAACACUGUGAAUCUGCUCCGGAAAUAUUUUGGGGAUUUUCUAAUAGCUACCUACUUGAAUGCCGUGCAAGAGUCCCGUUAUGACGAUGCUUAUAUAGGUGGAAUUGAGAGGGAAGUACUAUUGAAGACUCUUGAUACAUUAUGGAAAGACCAUUUGGUAAACAUGAACAAGCUUAGUUCUGCUGUGAACGUUCGGAGUUUUGGACACAGAAAUCCUCUGGAAGAGUACAAGAUCGAUGGCUGCCGCUUCUUCAUCUCAAUGUUGAGCGCCACACGACGUCUCACCGUGGAAUCCCUUGUGCACUACUGGUCGUCGCCCAUGGAGUCCGAGGAGAUCUUCAACACAGAGGAUCAAUAGCAGAAGACCUGACGUGGACUGGUGCUGCAAGUUGUGGGCAGGUUAAUUAGCAGAGAGGCACAGGUAUAAACAGGAGCCGCGCGCGGCGUGUGUUAACCCUGUAAAAUCACAAGCUGACAUGGCCACGGUUGCGUCGAUUUCGCGCUGUGGCUGUGCACCUACAUAUAAAACUAAGUACAUCUCAAUGCACAAGAGGGUAGUAACUGGAUAGGUGUGGACUGCAAGACAGUCUGAUCCAUCCCACAUCAGCAAUACGGCGUUGCCGCAAAGUUGGCAUCUCGUUCACAGUGUACUGUGGUCCUUUAGCCUGUCAUGAUGAUGAAAAAGUCCGCUCUGUACCUUUUUCUUUCAUCGCUCGUCAGACGGAACAGGAGAGUGCGGAAUCUCUUGCUUGUGGAUGACGAACUCUUCGUGCAGGUAGGUACGCAGCCUAGUGGUCAUGCUUUGACAUUGCCAAAUAUUUGGUUUUUAAUUUUUUUUCGGGCGUGUGAUGGUGGCAAUUUGUAAGUAAAAAACUCUAGGGAGUAUGGUACCGAUUUAACCUGUGUGUACUGCUGCAGUUGCAACAAUAUACUGUACAAAAAGUAGAAGCCCGUGAAUUAAAGCUUAA